rnacentral:rRNA from 1 species
AUGAACGCUGGCGGCGUGUUUAAGGCAUGCAAGUCGAACGCAUUUGGUGCAAAUCAAAUGAGUGGCAAACGGGUGAGUAUCACACAAGUAAUUUGCCCUUAUCUCGGACAUAACUCUGUGAAAACGGAGCUAAUAUCCGGCGGUAUGAAUUUACGAAAGUAAAUUUAUUAAAGGGUCUAGUGAAAGCUAGACUUGGAUAGGGAGAAGCUUGUGCUCUAUCAGGUAGUUGGCGGGGUAAAAGCCCACCAAGCCUAUGACAGAUAGCAGGCGUGAGAGCGCGACCUGCCUCACUGGGACUGAGACACUGCCCAGACUCCUACGGGAGGCUGCAGUCAAGAAUCUUCCUCAAUGGCCGAAAGGCUGAAGGAGCGACGCCGCGUAUAGGAAGAAGUCCUUCGGGAUGUAAACUAUUUUUUUAAGGGAAUAAGUCCGCCGCAAGGUGGAUUGAAGGUACCUUAAGAAUAAGCCACUGCUAACCUCGU